GAAUACAAAGUGAGAGAGAAAACAAGAGUGAAGAAAAAAGAGUGAGCGAAUGUGAGACAUUCGAGAAUGAGCUUUUAAAAGAAAGAGUGGAAAAAAUAAUGAAGUGAAAAAGAAAGUGAGUUUGACAAAAGAGGCAGAAUUCAAAUGCGAAAAAAAAAUAAGUGAGCUUGUAUGCAAAAAGGAGUGAUAUUAAGGAAGCUUGGUUUUCAAGGAAAAGUAUACUUGUGCUUAUGUACAAGGAACUAUAUCUAAACACUAACG
rnacentral:lncRNA from 1 species